rnacentral:lncRNA from 1 species
UGUAAGGACUGCAGAAGGAACAUCCCACUUGCGUCUGCUGACACAAAAGAAUGCUGUGGCUGGGAGAUCUUAUCGAGCCUUCCUGUGCCACAGCAACAGAGCUCCAGUUGUGUCUCCUAAGAAUUGCUCAUUGUUUCGUGUGAGGACUAGCUCCUUUGGGUGGGAUCUGAUGGCAUCUCAUGGAGUUGGAGGUUUCCAGGAUAACUUGUGGAGACAGUGCUGUCCAUCUCUACUCCACUGACUAAGGUUUCUCUUUGAUGUUGAGUCCAGCUUUUGGAAGCCCUAUCCAAAGAAGCUUUCUUCUGUCACUUGCGAAUUUGAGUCAACUCUUAUAGUUUUAUUUCAUUUCUUGAAAUCUGAACAUUUCUAUCUUCGGAGGAGGAGAUUCUUGAUCUAAAGAAACCUGUGAAGACACCCAAGAUGAAUCCCCUUUUCCUUCUAGGCCCAGAGCUUGACUGUGU